rnacentral:rRNA from 1 species
CAAUAGCGUAUAUUUAAGUUGUUGCAGUUAAAAAGCUCGUAGUUGGAUUUCGGAUGGGACUUGCCGGUCCGUCGUUUCGAUGUGCACUGGCCAGUCCUAUCUUGUUGUCGGGGACUAGCUCCUGGGCUUCACUGUCCGGGACUAGGAGCUGACGAGGUUACUUUGAGUAAAUUAGAGUGUUCAAAGCAAGCCUACGCUCUGAAUACAUUAGCAUGGAAUAACACGAUAGGACUCUGGCUUAUCUUGUUGGUCUGUGAGACCAGAGUAAUGAUUAAGAGGGACAGUCGGGGGCAUUCGUAUUCCGUUGUCAGAGGUGAAAUUCUUGGAUUUACGGAAGACGAACAUCUGCGAAAGCAUUUGCCAAGGAUGUUUNCAUUGA